rnacentral:tRNA from 1 species
AUUGGCAGAUUAGUGCUUUAAAUUUAGAGUUUAAUUAAGUAAUUUUAUCACAUUUA